rnacentral:lncRNA from 1 species
GAGAAAGCUGAGGCACAGAGAGUUUGAUCUAGCCCAGCAAGAUCCCAUAUCUGGAUCCAUAUCAAAAGUUGCCCAGGAAGGCCAGGUGCAGUGGCUCACACCUGUAAUACCAGCUCUUCAGGAGGCCGAGGCUGGCGGACUACUUGAAGUCAGGAGUUCGAGACCAGCCUGGCCAACAUGGAGAAACCCAAAAAUUAGCCAGGUAUGGUGGCAUGGGCCUGUAGUCCUAGAUACUCGGGAGGUUGAGGCAGGAGAAUCGCCCAAACCCAGGAGACGGAGGUUGCCAUGAGCCAAGACAGUGUCACUGCACUCCAGCCUGGGCGACAGAGCAAGACUGUCUCAGAAAAAAAUAAAAAUAAAAAUAAAAUAAAAUAAAAAUAGAGGAAGUGAUGGAUGCCAUCCUAUCCCCCCUGAAUCAGACUCUUCCAAUCUAUUGGGCCCAGCAAUCUGGAGAUGUAAUAAGCUCUCCAGGUGAUUUUGAUGCAGUUAACCCAGCACCUUUCCACGAACUGGUACUAUCUGAGAAAGCGUAACUUCGUUUUGGUGAUGAGCACACCAAGAUUUAGAUCAGUAAUGUGACCUGCCCUGGGUGCACAGCAAACUCAGUGGCAGACAAAAAACAGGGACAAGGACAGCACUUUCUGCUUCCCCCACCACUUUCUCGUUCAAGGUCAAAUGUCUGCUUCUGAUGUUUGGACUUGCUUCUCCUUCAAGCCAUCUGAACCCACUUUCUUAUGAGAAAUAUUUUGGAAAAUUUAGUAUAUCAACAGAUGUAUAUGCAGGAUUGCUGAGUGGCUGAUCAGUGUUUGGGAAAAAGAGAAGGGAGGCAGUUUAAUUCACUUAAUCUCUUAUUUUCCAGCUGUUCUGAAUAACUUUAGAGAGCUUGUUAACUCUUCCACAUACUACCUUCUCCUUAUUAAUUCAUUAAGACUGUGGUCAGGCCAAGAAUCAGGCCAAGAAUCAAUCUAUCUAUCUAUCUAUCUAUCUAUCUAUCUAUCUAUCUAUCUAUUUUUUUUUUUUUUGAGACGGAGUCUCGCUCUGUCGCUCAGGCUGGAGUGCAGUGGCGGGAUCUCUGCUCAUUGCAAGCUCCACCUCCCGGGUACACGCCAUUCUCCUGCCUCAGCCUCCUGAGUAGCUGGGAUUACAGGCACCUGCCACCACACCUGGUUAAUUUUUUGUAUUUUUAGUAGAGACGGGGUUUCACCGUGUUAGCCAGGAUGGUCUCGAUCUCUUGACCUCGUGAUCUGCCCGCCUUGGCCUCCCAAAGUGCUGGGAUUACAGGCGUGAGCCACCAUGCCCGGCCAAGAAUCUACAUUUUUGAACUGAGGCCCAAAGUCAUGUGACAAUUUGAGAAACUAGAAUCAAAAUCCAAAACGCCCAGAAUCUGAACGCACUUCCGCAAAAUGUCAGCUCCAUAAGAAUUGGAUUUUUGUGUUGUGGUGCACACUUGUGAUCCCAGCUACUCAGGAAGCUGAGGUGGGAGGAUUGCUUGAAUCUGGGAAGUGAAGGCUGCAAUGAGCCUUGAUCAUGCCACUGCACUCUAGCCUGGAUGAUGGAGUAAGACCCUGUCUCAAAAAAAAAAAAAAAAAAAAAAAAAGGCUGGGGGCAGUGGCUCACUCCUGUAAUCCCAGCACUUUGGGAGGCCAAGGCAGGUGGAUCACUUGAGGUCAGGAGUUGGAGACCAGCCUGGCCAACAUGGUGAAACCCCAUCUCCACUAAAAACACAAAAAUUAGCUGGCCAUGGUGGUGCACGCGUGUGAUCCCAGCUACUCAGGAGGCUGAGGCAGGAGAAUUGCUUGAACCAGGAAGGCGGAGUUUCCAGCGAGCCAAGAUGUUGCCAUUGUACUCCAGCCUGGGCGACAAAAGCGAAACUCCAACUCAAAAAAAAAAAAAAAUAAUAACGGCCGGGCGCGGUGGCUCAUGUCAGUAAUCCCAGCACUUUGGGAGGCUGAGGCGGGCAGAUCACCUGAGGUCAAGAGCUCAAGGCCAGCCUGGCCAACAUGGUGAAACCCCCUCUCUAUUAAAAAUACAAAAAUUAACUGGGCGUGAUGGUGUGUGCCUGUAAUCCCAGCUACUCAGGAGGCUGAAGCAAGAGAAUCUCUUGAACCCGGGAGGCAGAGGUUGCAGUGAGCCGCAAAUGAUUGUGCCAUUGCACUCCAGCCUGGGCAAUAGAGCGAGACUCCAUUUCAAAAAUAAAGAAAGAAAUAAAAAUAAUAUCUAGGCACAGUGGCUCACGCCUGUAAUCUCAGCACUCUGGGAGGCUGAGGCGAGUGGAUCACCUGAGGUCAGGAGUUCGAGACCAGCCUGGCCAACGUGGUAAAACCCCGUCUCUACUAAAAAUACAAAAAUUAGCUGGGCAUGGAGGCAGGUGCCUGUAAUCCCAGCUACUCGGGAGGCUGAGGCAGGAGAAUCGCUUGAACUCGGAGGCAGAGGUUGCAGUGAGCCGAGAUUGCACCAUUGCAUUCCAACCUGGGCGACAAGAGUGAAACUCUGUCUCAAAAUAAUAAUAAUGAUAAGUAAAGAAUAAUUGCCUCUUGUGAAAAAAGUAGUACAUAAAUGCACAAAGUAUGUAAUAAGUAGUAUUUUCCAAAAGAAAGCCUGUUAAUGUCACCUUCUCUGAAUAAAAACCCUUUAAUGGUUUCCCAUUCUCUGAAAUAAAAGCUCUUAACAAAGUCUUCAGGGGCUGUCUGGUCUGGCCCCUGACUACUCUCCCACCCACAUUGCCCUGUGCUCUAGCCGUAGGUCCUCUGUCCAUCCCUUGAAUGUGCCGUAAUCUUUUCUGCUACAGGUCUUUUGCUCCUGCUCUUUCCUCUGCCUGGAGCACUCUUCUUUUUUUCUUCUUUUCCACUUAAUUUACACUUAUCCUUCAAUCUUAGCUGAGUGCUGUUUCCUUAGGGAAGCCUUCCCUGACUUCUCUAACUAGGUCAGAAAACUUUUUUUUUUUUUUUUUUUUGAGACAGAAUCUUGCUCUGUCACCCAGACUGGAAGGAAGUGGCACCAUCUAGGCUCACUGCAACCUCUACUCCCACCAACCCUCCAGCCCCCCUGGGCUCAAUCAGUCCUCCUACCUCAGCCUCCCAAGUAGCUGAAACCACAGGUGCACACCACCAUGCCCUGUUAAUUUUUGUACUUUUUGUAGAAAUGGGGUUUUGCCAUGUUGCCCAGGCUGGUCUCGAACUCCUGGGCUCAAGUGAUCCUCCUGCCUUGGCCUCCCAAAGUGCUGGGAUUCCAGAUAUUCGAACCAUUGUGCCCAACCAGAGCCCAAUAUUUUAUGUUCUUGUAGGACUGAAUAUACUAGCUCUUGUCAUUGUUUAAAUUGUCCAUUUAUGUGUAGACAACUUGGCUAAUUAUCCACAUUUAAUUUUAAUCUUUGGUUAAAUUAUAUCUCCUCGCUAGCCUGUGAACCAUAUGAGGACAGAGAGUGUUUAAGCUCACCGUUAGAUCCCCAGGAUUCAAAAUAGCAAAUAAUAGGUGCUCAAUAAAUACUUAUUGAAUGAAUGAAUGGAGAAAAGACACCAAAACCACAUUUCCAGGUGAUGAAAUUAUGAGUAAUUUUGUCUUCUCUCUCUCUGCGGCAUAUCUGUAUCUUUUUUUCCUAUUCGUUUUCUACUAAAAAAAGUGUGCUAACUGUGAGUUAAAAACUAGUCUUUUGUGGACUAGUGUGGAACUGUCUACUCCUCAUUCCUGUGGAAGCAGGAAUACAUUCAUAACAUGCUCCAUUAAAAAAGGAGUUCUAGGCCAGGCAGCGUGCCUCAUGCCUGGAAUCCCAGCACUUUGGGAGGCCGAGGCAGGAGGAUGGCUUGAGGCCAGGAGUUCAACACCAGUUUGGGCAACAUAAUGAGCCCCCUGUCUCUAUGAAAAAAUAAAAAUAAAUUAAUAAAUAAAAAUUAGCCAGUCAUGGUGGCACACACUUAUAGUCCCAGGUACUCAGGAGGCUGAGGAUUGCUUGAGCCCGGCAGGUUGAGGCUGCAGUGGGCUGUGAUUGUGCCACUGCACUGCAGCCUGGGCAACCCAGCAAGACCCUGUCUCAAAAAAAAAAAAAAAAAAAGGCCAGGUGUGGUGGCUCACGCCUGUAAUCCCAGCACUUUGGGAGGGCAAGGCAGGUGGAUCACCUGAUGUCAGGAGUUUGAGACCAGCCUGACCAACAUGGCGAAAGCCUGUCUCUACCAAAAAUAAAAAUUAGCCGGUUGUGGUGGUGGGCGCCUGUAAUCCCAGCUACUCGGGAGGCUGAGGCAGGAGAAUCGCUUGAACCCUGGAGCCAGAGGUUGCAGUGAGAUGAGAUCAUGCCAUUGCACUCCAGCCUGGACGACAGAGCGAGACUUCAUCUCAAAAAAAAAAAAGGAUCCUCAGGGCUGCCAACCUUAUAGUAGAAGUUGAGGUGGUAGUGGAUUUCUCCUACACAAAAGACCAAGUAAACAAAAAGGAAAAAAAGUUUAAAGAAACAAAACACCAGUCUUAUCUGAGUUCUAGUUUUCCAGGGUGUGAUCCAGAACCUAUGGAUCAAAACCAGAAAGAACAACCAGAAUCCAGCAGCAAUUCAGCGUGAGGCACUAACAGUUCUCCUGCUUCCCAAUACCCACUACCCCACCUCUGCUCCCACCCAGGAAUCUUCGUUUUGCAGGUCCCUGUAGCAGUCCUGGCUUUCACACCCUCAUACACAAUAGUUAAGGACACCAAAGCCCAUUUGCCUGCCCUCUUUGAUAAAACAGUGACAGGAAGACAAAACAUCACCAGCAAAAGUCUUUAAAAAUUUAAAGACCCUGAUAAAGUCCUCCAUUCCACACCUGCCAGGGAAGGAAAUGGCCUCUGGCAAGUGCCUCUGUUGCUGCCCCCACUCCCACCUCCCAACACCUUUUCUACAAACAUCCCCUUCUCAACUUGUCCUCAGCUGCCUGCUAGAGGGCACCAGAUCCACUUGCCUGAGGAGCUGGAGGAAGGGGAAGCCCCCACGACCCCACUGUGUAGUCAUGGGGAUGAAACUAAUGAGUUGAUGUUCUUCAAGCAUUUGGAGGAUCAAAGCCUGAGAUCUGAGGCCUUGGCGAGAACACAGCGCUUGCAGGCAUGGGUGGGCACAAGCCAAGAGGCCCCCCGGAUCACACAGGGCCAGGUGCUGUGCACACUCGGGUAGGGGCCGCUUGCCGACAGACAGGUGUGAGGGCUGGCCCAAGAAAGUCAGGUCCCUAAAGUGAUACUACAGAAAAGGAAGAAUUCUGAAACAUUGUAAUUAAAUUAAUACAGGAAUUUGGGAAGGGGAGGGAAAGUAAAGGACAAGGAAGAAGAAAACAAGAAAACAACAAUCACUCAUUAUCUCUCCAGAUCAAAUUAACCUAUGCUAGGAGUUUAGUUUAUUUGCUCCUAGUCUUUUUUUUUUUCUUUUUCUUUUUUCUUUUCUUUUUUUUUUUUUUUUGAGACAGAGUCUCGCUCUCUCGCCCAGGCUGGAGUGCAGUGGCAUGAUCUUGGCUCACUGCAACUUCUGCCUUACGGGUUCAAGCAAUUCUCCAGCCUCAGCCUCCAGAUUAGCUGGGAUUACAGGCGUGUGCCACCAUGCCCGGCUAAUUUGUUGUAUUUUUAAUAGAGGUGGGUUUUCACUGUGUUAGCCAGGAUGUUCUCAAUCUCCUGACUUCGUGAUCCGCCCGCCUCAGCCUCCCAAAGUGCUGGGAUUACAGGCGUGAGCCACCGCGCCCGGCUGCUCCUAUUAAUUUUUAUUUUUUGAAACAGAGUCUUGUUAUGUCACCCAGACUGGAGCACAGUGGUGCAAUCAUGACUCACUGUAGCCUCGACCUGGGCUCAAGCCAUCCUUCCAUCCCAGCCUCUGGAGUAGCUGUGACUACAGGAGCACACCACCACACUCAGCUAAUUUUUGUAUUUUUUGUAGAAAUGGGAUUCCACCAUGUCGCACAGGCUGGUCUUGAGCUCCUGGGCUCAAGCAAUCUACCCACCUCAGCCUCCCAAAGUUCUGGGAUUACUGGCAUGAGCCACUGCACCCACUCCAAGCUACUACUUUUUCCUGCAGAUAUUGACAUGAUAAUAUUUUUCUCCUUUAACCAGGUAAUGUGGUGCAUUACAUGAAUAGGGUUUCUGCAGUUGAAAUGCCCUUGCAUUCCUGGGAUAAUCAAUUGCAAUUAUUUUCUACCGUGAGUUCCUUUUCUAGCCCCCUGUCUCAGUUUAUGCCUUGGAGGGGCAAAGUUAUUUCCGGUCUUGGCUCUUUGUCAAAAGCUCUAGUUUCUUAGCCGGAAUGUUAUAGAAGCUUCCAGAAACUUGGUUUGCUCAUUAGUGAUGUGGUAGGAGUGGUCUCACUCAUUGCUGAGGUGGAGACAAUGAAGUGGGAACAAAAGGAAGUGAGGGAGGUCUUGCUCUCACGAGCCUGGAUAGAUCUCACAGGAAUUAAUUAGUUCCCUAGAGAAUGGGUUGCUAUAAAGCCAGGAUGCCCAUCAGGAUCCCCCCC